AGAGUUUGAUCAUGGCUCAGGAUGAACGUUGGUGACGUGCUUGAGAUAUGCAAGUCGAGCGACCCUAACGCAAGUUAGGGAGCGGCGGACGGCUGAGUAAUGCGUAGGUAUCUACCCCUAGGUGGAGAAUAGCUCCGAGAAAUCGGAGAUAAUACUCCAUAGUUCCCGCCUCUGGCGGGAUAAAGGUCGUAACUGAUCGCCAAGGGAGGAGCCUUCGUCCUAUCAGGUAGUUGGUAGGGUAACGGCCUACCAAGCCUAUGACGGGUAGCUGGUCUAGGAGGAUGACCAGCCAGAGGGGCACUGAGAUACGGGCCCCACUCCUACGGGAGGCAGCAAUCAGGAAUAGUCGGCAAUGGACGAAAGUCUGACCGCGCGACGUCGCGUGUAGGAAGAAGCUCUUCGGAGUGUAAACUACUGUGAUAAGGGAAGAAGAUCCGCCUUUGGCGGGUUUGACGGUACCUUAUUAGAAAGGGGCCGCUAAUUGCGUGCCAGAAGCGUCGGUAAUACGUGAGCCCCAAACGUUAUCCGGUUUUAUUGGGUGUAAAAGGUCGUGUAGGUGGUUUUACAAGUUGUCUCUUAAAUGCUCCAGCUCAACUGGAGAAUAGGAGAUAAGACUGUAAGACUAGAGUUUUCUCAAGGGAGAUUGGAACUUAGGGAGGAGUAGUGAAAUGCGUUGAUACCCUAGGGAACACCAGUGGCGAAGGCGAAUCUCUGGGAGAUAACUGACACUGAGACACGAAAGUUAGGGGAGCGAAGCAGAUUAGAGACCUGCGUAGUCCUAACUGUAAACGUAUGUCUGCUAGCUGCAUUUUUUCUCCGCCUUUGGCGGAGGAGGGGUGUGGCGAAGAUAACUCGUAAGCAGACCACCUGGGGAGUACGGCCGCAAGACUAAAACUCAAAGGAAUUGGCGGGGAGGCACACAACCAGUGGAACAUGUGGUUCAAUUCGAAACGAAACGAAGAACCUCACCAGGGUUUGACAUCUCAGCGUCCUAUUUUCCGGAAACGGAGAAAAUUCGCAAGAAGGCUGAGACAGGUACUGCAUGGCUGUCGUCAGUUCGUUCCGUGAGGAGUGCCCUUAAGUGGGACAACGAACGCAACCCCCAUCCUGUGUUAUAUUUGUCACAGGAAACAGGUCUGAUGAUUCAUCGGACAGGAAGGAGGGGCAGACGUCAAGUCAGCAUGGUCCUUAUACCCUGGGCCACACACAUGUUACAAUGAGAAUUAACAAUGGGUUUCGCUACUUAGUAAUGAGAAGCAAAUCCCGGAAAUAUUCUCUCAGUGGGGAUUGAGGUCUGCAACUCGACCUCAUGAACACGGAAUUGGUAGUAAUCGCGGGUCAGUCAUACCGCGGUGAAUACGUUCUUGCCUCUUGCACACACCGCCCGUCAAGCCAACAAAGUCGAGAUUAUUUGAACCCCGCCUUGGGCGGGGGAGGAUAACUUCGGCGAUGGGGGUUAAGUCGUAACAAGGUAGCCG
rnacentral:rRNA from 2 species